GGGGAUUUGGCCCAGCGGUAGAGCGCUUGCCUAGCAAGCACAAGGCCCUGGGUUCGAUCCCCAGCUCCG
rnacentral:tRNA from 1 species